rnacentral:rRNA from 1 species
UACGUAGGGUGCGAGCGAUGUCCGGCAUUAUUGGGCGUAAAGAGCUUGUAGGCGGUCUGUCGCGUCUGCUGUGAAAAUCCGGGGCUCAACCCCGGACUUGCAGUGGGUACGGGCAGACUGGAGUGCGGUAGGGGAGAAUGGAAUUCCUGGUGUAGCGGUGGAAUGCGCAGAUAUCAGGAGGAACACCGAUGGCGAAGGCAGUUCUCUGGGCCGUAACUGACGCUGAGGAGCGAAAGCGUGGGGAGCGAACAGG